GCAAAAAUGAGCACAUUCAGGCAUGAGAGAAAGAAGUGAAAUCAGAUUGUAUUGCAUUUCUUUGGCAUAUAUGGUGCGAUGCAAGACUUUUUUCUUUUCUUAACUCCUGAAAUUUGAGAUAGCCUGAGAAAAAUACCAGCAUGGACAAAAAUGAGGAAUCAGCUUUCCAUCUAAAUGCUAUUUUAAAAGAUCCCAUAAAUCACAGACUGCACCACUGCUGAUGACAUCUAUAAAACAUUUCCUGGUUGGACACAGGUCACUUUGACAUGGAACUGAAGGCAUGUAACCACUCCCCACCACCUCUGGUUUGGUGAUACAACAAAUCCAUUUGAGCCUCCAGCACAGGGCCAGGUGCAUCCAGGUGAGCUUUCCUGUGCUGCAGAGGCCGGAGCAGCAAUUCCCAGCACACCGAGCCUGUGAUCCAUCCUGUAGUGCUGCUCUGGGCACGCUACGGAGCUGGAGCUGCUCCCUCACACCCCGCAGGGUCCGGCAGGGCUGCCAGGACAGCAGCUGUUGGGAAGGAUGAAAGUUUGACAAGAAAGUCUC
rnacentral:lncRNA from 1 species